rnacentral:rRNA from 1 species
GGGCUAUACAUGCAAGUCGAACGCUUCUUUCCUCCCGAGUGCUUGCACUCAAUUGGAAAGAGGAGUGGCGGACGGGUGAGUAACACGUGGGUAACCUACCCAUCAGAGGGGGAUAACACUUGGAAACAGGUGCUAAUACCGCAUAACAGUUUAUGCCGCAUGGCAUAAGAGUGAAAGGCGCUUUCGGGUGUCGCUGAUGGAUGGACCCGCGGUGCAUUAGCUAGUUGGUGAGGUAACGGCUCACCAAGGCCACGAUGCAUAGCCGACCUGAGAGGGUGAUCGGCCACACUGGGACUGAGACACGGCCCAGACUCCUACGGGAGGCAGCAGUAGGGAAUCUUCGGCAAUGGACGAAAGUCUGACCGAGCAACGCCGCGUGAGUGAAGAAGGUUUUCGGAUCGUAAAACUCUGUUGUUAGAGAAGAACAAGGACGUUAGUAACUGAACGUCCCCUGACGGUAUCUAACCAGAAAGCCACGGCUAACUACGUGCCAGCAGCCGCGGUAAUACGUAGGUGGCAAGCGUUGUCCGGAUUUAUUGGGCGUAAAGCGAGCGCAGGCGGUUUCUUAAGUCUGAUGUGAAAGCCCCCGGCUCAACCGGGGAGGGUCAUUGGAAACUGGGAGACUUGAGUGCAGAAGAGGAGAGUGGAAUUCCAUGUGUAGCGGUGAAAUGCGUAGAUAUAUGGAGGAACACCAGUGGCGAAGGCGGCUCUCUGGUCUGUAACUGACGCUGAGGCUCGAAAGCGUGUGGAGCAAACAGGAUUAGAUACCCUGGUAGUCCACGCCGUAAACGAUGAGUGCUAAGUGUUGGAGGGUUUCCGCCCUUCAGUGCUGCAGCAAACGCAUUAAGCACUCCGCCUGGGGAGUACGACCGCAAGGUUGAAACUCACAGGAAUUGACGGGUGCCCGCACAAGCGGUGGAGCAUGUGGUUUAAUUCGAAGCAACGCGAAGAACCUUACCAGGUCUUGACAUCCUUUGACCACUCUAGAGAUAGAGCUUUCCCUUCGGGGACAAAGUGACAGGUGGUGCAUGGUUGUCGUCAGCUCGUGUCCUGAAAUGUUGGGUUAAGUCCCGCAACGAGCGCACCCUUAUUGUUAGUU